ACUUUAUGUCAUGUGGACGAUUGAGUAUAAGAACUUAAACUGCAACCGGAUCUUAAAAGCCUAAGUAUUGUAUCCUUGUUAGAAGAUACAAAGACAAAGACUCCUACGGACUUGCUACACCAUCAAAAGUUUGAGAAUCAAGAAGAAGCUUCGUUAGUGUUUUGGAGUCGAAUAUGACUUGAUGUGAUGUGUAUCAUUGAGUAUAAGAACUUAAACCGCAACCAGAUCUUAAAAGCCUAAGUAGUGUUUCCUUGUUCGAAGAUACAAAGCCAAAGCCUCAUACGUACUUUAGCUACACCAUCAAAGCUUUGAGAAGCAAGAAGAAGCUUGGUUGGUGUU
rnacentral:sRNA from 1 species